GACCGGACAAUUACCUAUAGCCUCGGCUAUAAGUAAUUGUUAGUGGCAGACGGGUGAGUAAUGCGUAGGAAUCUACCUAGUAGUAUGGAAUAGCCAUUAGAAAUGAUGGGUAAUACUGUAUAAUCCCUGCGGGGGAAAGAUUUAUCGCUAUUAGAUGAGCCUACGUUAGAUUAGCUAGUUGGUAAGGUAAUGGCUUACCAAGGCUAUGAUCUAUAGCUGGUCUGAGAGGACGAUCAGCCACACUGGAACUGAGAUACGGUCCAGACUCCUACGGGAGGCAGCAGUGGGGAAUAUUGGACAAUGGGCGAAAGCCUGAUCCAGCUAUGCCGCGUGAGGAUCACCAUAUACUGUCGCACGCCG
rnacentral:rRNA from 1 species